rnacentral:rRNA from 1 species
GAUGAACGCUAGCUACAGGCUUAACACAUGCAAGUCGAGGGGAAACGGCAUUUAGUGCUUGCACUGAAUGGACGUCGACCGGCGCACGGGUGAGUAACGCGUAUCCAACCUUCCCAUUACUGUGGGAUAACCUGCCGAAAGGCAGACUAAUACCGCAUAGUCUUCGAUGACGGCAUCAGAUUUGAAGUAAAGAUUUAUCGGUAAUGGAUGGGGAUGCGUCUGAUUAGCUUGUUGGCGGGGUAACGGCCCACCAAGGCAACGAUCAGUAGGGGUUCUGAGAGGAAGGUCCCCCACAUUGGAACUGAGACACGGUCCAAACUCCUACGGGAGGCAGCAGUGAGGAAUAUUGGUCAAUGGACGAGAGUCUGAACCAGCCAAGUAGCGUGCAGGAUGACGGCCCUAUGGGUUGUAAACUGCUUUUGUAUGGGGAUAAAGUCAAUCACGUGUGAUUGUUUGCAGGUACCAUACGAGUAAGGACCGGCUAAUUCCGUGCCAGCAGCCGCGGUAAUACGGAAGGUCCGGGCGUUAUCCGGAUUUAUUGGGUUUAAAGGGAGCGUAGGCCGGAGAUUAAGUGUGUUGUGAAAUGUAGACGCUCAACGUCUGACUUGCAGCGCAUACUGGUUUCCUUGAGUACGCACAACGUUGGCGGAAUUCGUCGUGUAGCGGUGAAAUGCUUAGAUAUGACGAAGAACUCCGAUUGCGAAGGCAGCUGACGGGAGCGCAACUGACGCUUAAGCUCGAAGGUGCGGGUAUCGAACAGG